rnacentral:rRNA from 1 species
GAUCAUGGCUCAGGAUGAACGCUAGCUACAGGCUUAACACAUGCAAGUCGAGGGGCAGCAUGGUCUUAGCUUGCUAAGGCCGAUGGCGACCGGCGCACGGGUGAGUAACACGUAUCCAACCUGCCGUCUACGUCUUGGACAGCCUUACUGAAAGGAAGAUUAAUACAAGAUGGCAUCAUGAGUCCGCAUGUUCACAUGAUUAAAGGUAUUCCGGUAGACGAUGGGGG